rnacentral:misc_RNA from 1 species
AAAAAAAAAAAAAAAGUUUGGGCCAAUACCAAAAGGGCUAAGGGAAAAAGUUUGGCCUUCAAUAAUGUAGAGAUAAUUCCCAACUUGAUUAAUGAUCGUCGAUAGGGGAAACCAACUUAGCACGCCUGUGAUUUGAGCUGAUGCAAUCAUAACCUACUCAAAUUCGGACCCAUUUGUGAGUUUUUCUUUACACACUCAAUUAUUAUUUUUCUUUAAUCAUUAUAUUUGAGCAUGUCAUUGUAGUCUCAAGUCAUCCUUGGGUGGCUUUCAAAGCAAAAU